CACCAACUGAACUGAUUAUAACUGUACAAAGUUGACAAGAUUCAAAAGUGGUUUGGGUAAAAGAGACUCAAUCCUAGAGGGGCAUUUGAUUCCAAAAGGGAAGAAGACGUACUUCAUCUGGAACAUCGUGAAGUCACAGAAGAACUUCACAAGUGUUCCGAUCGGAAGGGAGCCCUUUGAGUAAGUGAAAUGAAGCGUGAAUAACUGCCUAAUUAGUGGACAUGAAAACUGGACAGUCUCCAAAGUCAUCAGAGAUGACCACGCUUGCCAGGCAACUUACUAGACUAAGGGUGACGUGCCCAUCAUGCAGGAAGCUUCUCCAAGGCUGGCGAGAGCAACUUGUCUGCUUUGAGAAAUGCAGAUCUAUCAGGAUCCAGAAUCGGACUCUGAAAAAGCUGUCAUUUCAUGUCUCUAAAACAGCCUUUGAUUUAAUGUACAAGAUGUCAAGAAGUAAAGGACAAUAAAAUAAAAACCAAAAAAGGAGAACUAUUUCAAUUAAGAAGCAUUCCUAUAUCAAUUCUUGGAAAUCACAUAAAAUAAAAGCUGUCAGAAUCAAUCUCUGUUUAAAAGGCUGAUUUUUUUGUGGUGCUUACAUACAACAUGCAAGACCAGAAAAAAAUACAAAUUACUAGCACAGAGCAGCCAAACUUAAAAAAUCCUUUCUCAUUAGAGAGAUAUCUGGUUAUUAAAUUUUCCUAAUGGAUCUAGGAAAAGUGUUUUUAUGGCUGGGGC
rnacentral:lncRNA from 10 species